CUGUGGUCAGCACUGGAGGGAGGGCUGUGGUCAGUGCUGGGAGGGCUGUGGUCAGUCUUGGAGGGGGCCUGAGGGACACAGAUGUCCCAGGGAGGCACUGGACAUGGGCUCCCUGGGGUGGCAAGCUGCCCGGGGACCCUGGGGUGGCAGAAGUUGCAGGCUCUGCCCCAUAGGCCCUGUGUCCCGUCCCCCGCUGGGCACAGCCGUCCACAGCUGCCGCUGUGUCCCCAAGUGGACACGGCCAGGCAGGCAGCAGGUUCCCGGUGACCCUGUGUCCCAGCCUAGCCAGCCCCUUGAGGGUCUCAGCAUCCAGGGUGGCCUGGCCUCCCGGGGCCCUGGCCCUGCCCACACUGACCUCCUCCUGCCCACCCCUCGUCCCCCAGGAGACCUGGUGCUCACCCUCAUCAUCCCCCAGUGCCGGGAGUGCCAGGCCUGCCUGCAUCCAAGAGGCAGCUUCUGUGACAAGCAGGAGCUGGAAGAGCCAGGACGAUGUCCCCAAGCUGGUGACUGACUUCAUGGCCAAGAAGUUUGACCUGGACACACUGAUCACCCACAUCCUGCCCUUUGAGAAGAUCCAAGAGGGCUUCGAGCUGCUCACCUCUGGCCAGAGCAUCAGAACUGUUCUGACGUUUUAGACAGAGCGGGACACUGCCAGGCAGCCUCCCACGUAGACUCCACAUCUCCUCACGGCUGGACACUCUCAGGCUUGCACACCCUCAUUAGCUGCGCCCUGCCAUGAGGCCUGCACCCUGCCAUGUGGCCUGCGUCCUGCCCUGUGGCCUGCACCCUACCCCACGGCCUGCACCCUGCCCUGUGGCCUGAACCCUACCCCAAGGCCUGCACCCUACCCUGUGGCCUGCACCCUACCCCAAGGCGUGCACCCUACCCCAUGGCCUGCACCCUGCCCUGUGACCUGCACCCUACCACAAGGCCUGCACCCUGCCCUGUGGCCUGCACCCUACCCCAAGGCCUGCACCCUGGCCUGUGCUAUGCAGAAGCUGUCCCUAGGGUUCCAUGUGAGGCUCUGUGGGGACAGGCAAAUGCAGUUAUAUCUGACAGUGGGUGAGAGACCUUCCUAAA